CUACGGGUGGCUGCAGUGGGGAAUAUUGGACAAUGGGGGAAACCCUGAUCCAGCAAUGCCGCGUGUGUGAAGAAGGCCUGCGGGUUGUAAAGCACUUUCGGUUGGGAGGACUGCUUCUAGCACUAAUAUUGUUGGAAGUUGACGUUACCUUCAGAAGAAGCACCGGCUAACUCCGUGCCAGCAGCCGCGGUAAUACGGAGGGUGCAAGCGUUAAUCGGAAUUACUGGGCGUAAAGCGCGCGUAGGCGGCUAGAUCAGUCGGGUGUGAAAGCCCCGGGCUUAACCGGGAACUGCAUCCGAUGCUGUGUAGGUUGAGGUCAGGGGGGGAGGGGGGAAAUUCAAAAGUAGCGGUGAAAAGGGUAGAUUUGGUGGGGAAAACCCAUGGGGAAGGCAGGUCUCUGGGCUGGUACUGGCGGUGAGGUGCGAAAGGGGGGGGAGCAAACCGGAUUUGAUACCCCUGUAGUC
rnacentral:rRNA from 1 species